AAUCCAUGGUGAGGGCAGUCACCUUCAUACUCUUUAAAACGCUCCAGACUUCAUAGAAAGGUUCAGGUGGUCCUUGCUGAAAACUUGAGAUCUUGGUUCUCAGUAA
rnacentral:snoRNA from 1 species